rnacentral:lncRNA from 1 species
UGACUUUGAUCUUCUGGCUAGACCUACUUCGAUCUUCUGGCUAGAUCUACUUCGAUUCGAUUCUCUGGCUGAAUCUACUCUCUUUGAUUCUCUGGCUGAAUCUACUUCGAUCUUCUGGCUAGAUCUGGAUUGUUUUGAUUCUCUGGUUGAAUCUUCAACUUGAACUUUAGGCUGGCUCUCUGGAAAACGAUUCUCAGGCUGAAUCUUCG